rfam:Ictidomys tridecemlineatus contig096900, whole genome shotgun sequence.
UGGGUUAUAGCUCAGUGGCAGAGCACUUGCCUACCAAGUGUGAGGCACUGGGUUCAAUCCUCAGCACCACAU